rnacentral:rRNA from 1 species
UACGUAGGGUGCGAGCGUUGUCCGGAAUUAUUGGGCGUAAAGAGCUCGUAGGCGGUGUGUCACGUCGGCCGUGAAAACCCGGAGCUCAACUCCGGGCCUGCAGUCGAUACGGGCGGACUCGAGUUCGGCAGGGGAGACUGGAAUUCCUGGUGUAGCGGUGAAAUGCGCAGAUAUCAGGAAGAACACCCGUGGCGAAGGCGGCUCUCUGGUACGUGACUGACGCUGAGACGCGAAAGCGUGGGGAGCGAACAGG